AGAACAACGAAGCUGUGGGGGUUAUAUUCCUAAAAACUCUUGUGUAAGUAAGCUCAUGAUUUAAAAACUCGAGAUUUAAUGUAGAAACGAAGGAAUAGAGUGGGUUGGGAUGGAUGAUGGAGCUUGGGUUUGAAUCUAUGUAAUUCGUAAUUAACAUAUUCACAUUCACUAAAGUGAGUUACUAAAGAGAACAUAGUAAACAGACCAUCGAUGACAUUUUACACACUGAACUAGAGGCAGUAGGAUACAAUUAAUUUUAAAUUACUCAUCCCUAAUUGCUAGAGACUUGUUAAUAUAUCCUUCCCUCACAUUUGAGGAAAAAAAUGCUUGAAAAUAAAUUUUUCCUUCUUGUGAGUCUAUGUUUAAGAGACGUUUCCCCCCCUUCAUGCAACAACCCAUCUCAAUCUCCAUUACUCUCCUAAUUUUAUUACUCAGAAUUCUUGAUCCUCAACUCCUGGGUCCCUGAUUAGUCCCAGAGAUAAAGAGAGUGACUCAAAUGCUUGAGGCAGAUAAAUCUUUGUAUGACUUUUACUCAACUUUCUCCAAAAUUCCUUCCCAAAACAUAGGAUAGGAUUAUACUGAAGUUAGUGCAGAUGUUUACUACAAUCUCAUAUGACAAGAAGAUGUAGUAUUAGCUUAGCUCAGUUAUGACUUCAGAAAUACAGUCUUGGAUCAUCCUUUGGACUACCUUACUUGACACAUUGGCUGUCUGCCUCAGUCUUUUCUUAUGCUCACAAGAUGGCUGCCACAUUUUGAAGCAUCUGUCCCAAAGAACAGUUUUGCCUCACAAAUCACCUUUUAAUGGGGAGAGUUUUUCUCUCGAGAAUGCCUCCAGCAGCCUCUUCCUCGAGUCUCUGGUCAGGAUUGUUAGGCAUGCCCAUUUAUAACUGCAAGAAAGACUGAGGAAACAAGUAUCCAGCAUAGUUAGCCUCUAUUUUUGGAUGUGGCAUCUAUCACUAGGAAAAGUCGUGGUAGGGACUGGGAAUGCAUAUAUAAUUAGACACAAACAAUGUCUGCCAUGGUGGUGAAACAGAAGUACCAUAGUUUAUUCAGUGAUAAUUUAUAUCAACAUUCUUUGACAUUUUCCAUUUUCCUAUCUUUUCUGAACAUUCUCCUGGCUCUCAGCACGAACUUCAGGCCUUCAACUACUUCCUAUUACCUUCUGUUUUCACUGUGUUUUCUAUUGGCCUAAAGCCCACGAUCAACCCUUAUGACACUUCCAUCUUCUGCACCCAACAUUCUUGCUCAUUCUUGAAGUUUCAGAGCUGCCUGGAUAUGGAGGUAAUUGAUUUAGACGAACUCUAAGAACAUGUCUAAUUUUAUAUAUUUAAGAGAACAGUUAUUACAAACAAUUAUUAAAAUGUUUCAUUUUGGGGUGAGGCAUUAAGCCAAUUAUUCCUACUAAUAUUUCAGAGGUGUCCUAUAACAUUUUGUGUUAAAACAUCAAAGUUGAUAUUUAUAAUAUAAAACCCAGAUAUAUAUAGGGUAUCCCAAUGGAAUAAAUUAUAGUAUACAAACCCAAGACCAAAAAUAAAAGAUGAGACAAUGAGUUAAUGAUAAUUUACCAAAUAUUAUAUAGUUCACUCUUGUUAAAAAGUUGAAAUAGGGGCCGGCCCGGUGGUGCAGUGGUUAAGUGCACACGUUCUGCUUUCGCGGCCCAGGGUUCACCUGUUCAGAUCCCGGGUGCAGACAUGGCACCACUUGGCAAGCCAUGCUGUGGCAGGCAUCCCACAUAUAAAGUAGAGGAAGAUGGGCAUGGAUGUUAGCUCAGGGCCAGUCUUCCACAGAAAAAAGAGGAGGAUUGGCAGCAGGUGUUAGCUCAGGGCUAAUCUUCCUCGGGGAAAAAAAAAGAAAGAAAAGAAGAA
rnacentral:lncRNA from 1 species